rnacentral:rRNA from 1 species
AGAGUUUGAUCAUGGCUCAGGACGAACGCUGGCGGCGUGCUUAACACAUGCAAGUCGAACGGAAAGGCCCUGCUUUUGUGGGGUGCUCGAGUGGCGAACGGGUGAGUAACACGUGAGUAACCUGCCCUUGACUUUGGGAUAACUUCAGGAAACUGGGGCUAAUACCGGAUAGGAGCUCCUGCUGCAUGGUGGGGGUUGGAAAGUUUCGGCGGUUGGGGAUGGACUCGCGGCUUAUCAGCUUGUUGGUGGGGUAGUGGCUUACCAAGGCUUUGACGGGUAGCCGGCCUGAGAGGGUGACCGGCCACAUUGGGACUGAGAUACGGCCCAGACUCCUACGGGAGGCAGCAGUGGGGAAUAUUGCACAAUGGGCGGAAGCCUGAUGCAGCAACGCCGCGUGCGGGAUGACGGCCUUCGGGUUGUAAACCGCUUUCGCCUGUGACGAAGCGUGAGUGACGGUAAUGGGUAAAGAAGCACCGGCUAACUACGUGCCAGCAGCCGCGGUGAUACGUAGGGUGCGAGCGUUGUCCGGAUUUAUUGGGCGUAAAGGGCUCGUAGGUGGUUGAUCGCGUCGGAAGUGUAAUCUUGGGGCUUAACCCUGAGCGUGCUUUCGAUACGGGUUGACUUGAGGAAGGUAGGGGAGAAUGGAAUUCCUGGUGGAGCGGUGGAAUGCGCAGAUAUCAGAGGAACACCAGUGGCGA